AAUGGAAUGGCUGAAAAAAAGUAAUAAAUUGUAAAUUUAUAAAUGAUUAAUAAUCUUCCAUUA
rnacentral:tRNA from 1 species